rnacentral:rRNA from 1 species
GGGGAAUAUUGCACAAUGGGGGAAACCCUGAUGCAGCAACGCCGCGUGAAGGAUGACGGUUUUCGGAUUGUAAACUUCUUUUCUUAGUGACGAAGACAGUGACGGUAGCUAAGGAAUAAGCAUCGGCUAACUACGUGCCAGCAGCCGCGGUAAUACGUAGGAUGCAAGCGUUAUCCGGAUUUACUGGGUGUAAAGGGAGCGCAGGCGGGACUGCAAGUUGGAUGUGAAAUACCGUGGCUUAACCACGGAACUGCAUCCAAAACUGUAGUUCUUGAGUGAAGUAGAGGCAAGCGGAAUUCCGAGUGUAGCGGUGAAAUGCGUAGAUAUUCGGAGGAACACCAGUGGCGAAGGCGGCUUGCUGGGCUUUAACUGACGCUGAGGCUCGAAAGUGUGGGGAGCAAACAGGAUUAGAUACCCUGGUAGUCCACACUGUAAACGAUGAUAGCUAGGUGUGGGGGGUCUGACCCCUUCCGUGCCGGAGUUAACGCAAUAAGCUAUCCACCUGGGGAGUACGACCGCAAGGUUGAAACUCAAAGGAAUUGACGGGGGCCCGCACAAGCAGUGGAUUAUGUGGUUUAAUUCGAAGCAACGCGAAGAACCUUACCAGGUCUUGACAUCCGACUAACGAGAUAGAGAUAUGUCAGGUGCCCUUCGGGGAAAGUCGAGACAGGUGGUGCAUGGUUGUCGUCAGCUCGUGUCGUGAGAUGUUGGGUUAAGUCCCGCAACGAGCGCAACCCCUGCCAUUAGUUGCUACGCAAGAGCACUCUAAUGGGACCGCUACCGACAAGGUGGAGGAAGGUGGGGACGACGUCAAAUCAUCAUGCCCCUUAUGACCUGGGCUACACACGUAAUACAAUGGCCGUUAACAGAGGGAAGCAAAGCGGUGAGGCAGAGCAAAACCCUAAAAACGGUCCCAGUUCGGACUGUAGGCUGCAACCCGCCUACACGAAGUUGGAAUUGCUAGUAAUCGCGGAUCAGCAUGCCGCGGUGAAUACGUUCCCG